UAUUGGUCAAUGGGCGUUAGCCUGAACCAGCCAAGUAGCGUGAAGGAUGACUGCCCUAUGGGUUGUAAACUUCUUUUAUAUGGGAAUAAAGUGCAGUAUGUAUACUGCUUUGCAUGCACCUUAUGAUUAAGGAUCGGCUAACUCCGUGCCAGCAGCCGCGGUAAUACGGAGGAUCCGAGCGUUAUCCGGAUUUAUUGGGUUUAAAGGGAGCGUAGGCGGGUUGUUAAGUCAGUUGUGAAAGUUUGCGGCUCAACCGUAAAAUUGCAGUUGAUACUGGCAUCCUUGAGUACAGUAGGGGUAGGCGGAAUUCGUGGUGUAGCGGUGAAAUGCUUAGAUAUCACGAAGAACUCCGAUUGCGAAGGCAGCCUGCUGGACUGUAACUGACGCUGAUGCACGAAAGCGUGGGGAUCGAACAGG
rnacentral:rRNA from 1 species